GUUACCUCUUGCUAUAGUUUGGAUGUUGAGUAUCUUUCAAAACCCGUGUGUUAAAAGCUUGGUCCCCACCUUGCAGCUGUGGGGAUGUGGUGGAGCCUGUGAGGGGUGGGGCCUAGUGGGUGGUCUUCAUGCCCUCCAGGGGAAUAGCAAGAUCCCUGGCUCUCCUUCCUCUGUCUUUCAUUCCCACCCAUGAGGUGAAUGAGAUUUUGCUUCACCAUGUACUUCCUGAGGUGACCGGCUGUCAUGGGCCAAAAGCAACGGAGCCAACUGACUGUGGACUAAAGCUUCCAAAGUGGCCUCUGACAGACCCAAGAAGUACACAUGGACAGGCCUUUCUCCAACAUUGUUCCUCAGUUCUUCAUAGCAAUGUGGAGCUGGGGAUCUACUGUCAAUCCACUGGUAGCUGUCAGCCUCCAGACCCAGCUGAGCCUCAGCCAACUGCUUCUUACACCUUGGCGAUGGGAGACACCCUCAGGACAACCGGUCCCAGGAACAAGGGUGAUGCAGAAUCAUUGAGAGAGGAAGACGAAGGGUGCAUACCUGGCUGUACCCUCCACCGGCUGAUCCUCAAUCAAGAGGAGCCACAGAUGGGACCCUUGAAGCCUUUGUCAAAAGUGCCACUUACUUGAAGCAACUGUUUGAUCAGUGUAAAGAGCCAACUGGGGCCACAGCAGGACCCACGUUAAGGCUCCCAUGUGUGCUCGUUCAGAGCCACCCAGCUGGCCAUGGCCAUGGAGCAGAGGUAGGCUGUGGGGUGCAGCAGACCAAGGAGAGGCCACGCUGUGUGCAUCCGGGAGGAGGUCCUAAUGAAUUAGGCAAGAGGCAGUGGCCAUCAGCAGGUGAGUGGUGGGGAUGCACUGAGGGAGGUGGAUACUGCCUGGGACUUCACUCCAAGGGCUACCAAGGGCCAUGGGAGGGGGUGCUGGGGAUGGCAUGGGUUUUGAGUUUCGUGUCCUUAAUGAAGUAAGAUAAAAGAGGGAGGAGGUACAGUUUGGAUGGGGGAGAUAAUGAACUGGGCUUUAGAACCAGCUGGGAUGGGAAUAAUUAAUCCACCCUAAGAGGGGAGGUGCGCUUUGGGACUGGGCCCCUACACUGCUUCCUAGGAAUGCUCCUGCCAUCAGCUUAUGCAAAUCUAAGUGUGCAGGAGCCCUGAUUGGGGUGCUAAGGAAUUGUCCAGCCAUCAACCCUCAUCUUCUCUGCAACAUCCUCCCUCUGAGCUGCUGCCACCAGUGAAAUUCCUCAGCCAAUGUAGGAGUUUUAAACAUCAUCAGGACCAGAAUCAAAGGGCAUUUCUGUAGGAAAAAGUGCACAGGCCAGGACCAAUUCAGCCUGUACCAGCAGUGAGAUGAGCAGGCUGCUCACAGUGGGCUGCCAGAGGCUGUGGCACCUGGGCAGAGGGUGGAGACAUAGCCCCCAUUCCAAGCACAUGCUGGGCUCUGACCUCGGCUACACACGGGGCCCCCAUCCCAAAUCCGUGUCACAGACUGACAGGACUGAGUCUGUGACUCUAAUCACAGACUGAGGCCUCAUCCUAAGCAAAUACUGAGCCCUGACCAUGGCCACACAUGGACCUGACCUUGGACACAGUGAGCUAUGAUCUUCAUGGGCUGAACCCUGGUCCUACUCAUGGUUAGAGACUGAGACUUCAACCCUAGCCACACAGUGAGCCUAGAUAAUGGCUCCAGACUGAGCUCAGCCCCUUGAUCAUGCCCUGCCCAGACCCUAGUCACAUGAGAACAUUGCUGUGGAUGCCCCAGGCCCUCCUGGUUUGGACAUUCUGUGAUCCUCUGAUUUUGUGUCUUGGGAUCCUUGUGACUGUGUUGCCCACUAUGGGCUAGAUGGACAAAUUGGAGUGUCCUCAUUCGUGGGAGCCAUCAUGUCAUUUUGUGUUCUGCUGUUUGCUCCUGUUCCCUUCCAGGUGGACUAUGAACCUGGGGGAGGCUUCACUUCCAGCCAGCUGCCAAGACUUUGUUUUUACUCUGAAGGCCAUUGGCUGAUUAAACAAGGCUCACUCAUAGUGGGAAAGGCAGCAUUCCCCAGUCGUCUGCAGCAGGGGUGAGUGCCAUCUCUAAUGACCUUCACAGCAGCGUUCAGACGGGUAUGUGCCGAACACACCAAGUACCUUCAAAACCCCACUGCAGUCCCUUUGAGAAUGUCCAUGCCCAUCCACACACCUGCUCCUCUCUCCACACUCAUAUACUGGUACUCAGUGCUACAGUUUUGCUACCUCAGUGGUGGCCUCAGGGGCUCAUCUAAAAGUGUGUUCGUAGAAUUAGUAGAGAAUUGAAACUUCUCUUUGUAUAUGUCCAGGUCAUAUAGAAAUACGCAGCGCUCAGUGAGAUCAGGCCUCUGGGGUUCCUGGGCUUGAGAGGAGGGAAAAAGGAUACAGAAGGAUGAUACCCUGACUCCAGAUGUGGCCUGGUCAUCAUGGUUCUGGGAGCAGUGGCCUAACUCUGGGAGAGGUGUCAGUUGCAUGAGGGUAGGUGAGAGCCAGUUGAGCUAGAUAGGAGGCCCAGACUGAGGUUGGCCAGCUCUGAGGCCUAGGGAAGUGCUCACCUUGGUCUUUGCUGAUCGUAUCCUAGGACCUUGAGGAGUACUUGGCAGGUAGCAGGCAUUCCUUUGUCCCUGACCAGCGCUGGUUGCUGGUGUGUGUGUCCUGGGUGGCAGGUUGUGGAGUUUGAGUUUGGGGGACCUGUGGGAAUUAGAGCCGCUCUAAUAUCCUGGUGAGGAAAGCUGGCUUUGGGGAGGGCUGGGUUACCAUGAUGUAGGAGGUUCGGCCCACAGUUGACCAAGCUGCUCUGGGUGGGAGGAUGGGUCCAGUUGAAGUUUUGUAGCCUUUGUAGCCCACCCUUCUUUUCUUGCCCUGGGCUCUGCAGCAGGAAAUUCUUUCCCCUUUCUGAGGUGAAGAAUGAAGUGUGGGUGACCAAAGUGUGUCAGGG
ensembl:lncRNA